rfam:Felis catus isolate Cinnamon breed Abyssinian chromosome C1, whole genome shotgun sequence.
GCCUGGGUGGCUUAGUCGGUUGAGCGUCUGACUUCGGCCUAGGUCAUGAUCUCACAGUUAGUGGGUUCAAGCCCCACAUCAGGCU